UACGAAGGGGGCUAGCGCUGUUCGGAAUUACUGGGCGUAAAGCGCACGUAGGCGGAAUGUUAAGUCAGGGGUGAAAUCCCGGGGCUCAACCCCGGAACUGCCUUUGAUACUGGAUGGCUUGAAUUCGGGAGAGGGAUGCAGAAUUCCAGGUGUAGCGGUGAAAUGCGUAGAUAUCUGGAGGAAUACCGGUGGCGAAGGCGGCAUCCUGGACCGACAUUGACGCUGAGGAGCGAAAGCUAGGGGAGCAAACGGG
rnacentral:rRNA from 1 species